AUGCAGUCGAACGAUGAAGACCGUGCUUGCACGGUCGGAUUAGUGGCGAACGGGUGAGUAUCACGUGAGUAACCUUCCCUUAACUCUGGGAUAAGCCCGGGAAACUGGGUCUAAUACCGGAUACGACCAGUCCUCGCAUGGGGUGCUGGUGGAAAGAUUUAUCGGUUUUGGAUGGACUCGCGGCCUAUCAGCUUGUUGGUGAGGUAAUAGCUCACCAAGGCGAUGACGGGUAGCCGGCCUGAGAGGGUGACCGGCCACACUGGGACUGAGACACGGCCCAGACUCCUACGGGAGGCAGCAGUGGGGAAUAUUGCACAAUGGGCGAAAGCCUGAUGCAGCGACGCCGCGUGCGGGAUGACGGCCUUCGGGUUGUAAACCGCUUUCAGCAGGGAAGAAGCGAAAGUGACGGUACCUGCAGAAGAAGCGCCGGCUAACUACGUGCCAGCAGCCGCGGUAAUACGUAGGGCGCGAGCGUUAUCCGGAAUUAUUGGGCGUAAAGAGCUCGUAGGCGGUUUGUCACGUCUGCUGUGAAAGCCCGGGGCUCAACCCCGGGUGUGCAGUGGGUACGGGCAGACUAGAGUGCAGUAGGGGAGACUGGAAUUCCUGGUGUAGCGGUGAAAUGCGCAGAUAUCAGGAGGAACACCGAUGGCGAAGGCAGGUCUCUGGGCUGUUACUGACGCUGAGGAGCGAAAGCAUGGGGAGCGAACAGGAUUAGAUACCCUGGUAGUCCAUGCCGUAAACGUUGGGCACUAG
rnacentral:rRNA from 1 species